rnacentral:rRNA from 1 species
UACAACGAAGAGUUUGAUCCUGGCUCAGGAUGAACGCUAGCGGUAGGCUUAACACAUGCAAGUCGAACGGGAUUUGAGUAGCAAUACUUAAUGAGAGUGGCGCACGGGUGAGUUACGCGUAUGCAACCUACCUGUAACUGGAAAAUAGCCCCCGGAAACGGGGAUUAAUGUUCCAUAAUGUUCAGGGAUCGCAUGGUUUUUGAACUAAAGCUCCGGCGGUUACAGAUGGGCAUGCGUGACAUUAGCUUGUUGGUGAGGUAACGGCUCACCAAGGCUAUGAUGUCUAGGGGGUCUUAAAGGAUGAUCCCCCACACUGGUACUGAGACACGGACCAGACUCCUACGGGAGGCAGCAGUGAGGAAUAUUGGUCAAUGGGCGCAAGCCUGAACCAGCCAAGCCGCGUGCAGGAUGAAGGCCCUAUGGGUUGUAAACUGCUUUUUUACGGGAAGAAUUCCCCCGACGUGUCGGGGAGUGACGGUACCGUACGAAUAAGCAUCGGCUAACUCCGUGCCAGCAGCCGCGGUAAUACGGAGGAUGCAAGCGUUAUCCGGAUUUAUUAGGUUUAAAGGGUGCGUAGGCGGACUUGUAAGUCAGCGGUGAAAUACUACAGCUUAACUGUAGAACUGCCGUUGAUACUGUGAGUCUUGAGUAUAGUUGAGGUA